AGCUCCAGUAGCGUAUAUUAAAGUUGUUGCAGUUAAAAAGCUCGUAGUUGGAUUUCUGGCUUGACAACUCUGGCCUGCUAUCAAUUCGAUGGUACGUGCCGGUUGUUGUCUGCCAUCCUUCUAGAAAACGAAUCUACCAUUCAUUUGGCCGGGUUCGCGAUCUAGAUCUUUUACUUUGAAGAAAUUAGAGUGUUCAAAGCAGGCUUACGCUAUGAAUACAUUAGCAUGGAAUAAUAAUUUAGGACUUUGGUUCUAUUUUGUUGGUUUCUAGAACUAAAGUAAUGAUUGAUAGGGAUAGUUGGGGGUGCUAGUAUUGAGCGGCCAGAGGUGAAAUUCUCAGAUUCGCUCAAGACUAACUUAUGCGAAAGCAUUCACCAAGGAUGUCUUCUUUA
rnacentral:rRNA from 1 species